rnacentral:lncRNA from 1 species
CUACUCAUGUGAAGUUGUAUUUUUUUAUUCUCCAUAUUACAAAACAGAACAAUUGGCACAGGGAUGAAGAAAUACUUUGCAAAACAUCUAGAGAGGUUAAAUGCCAUGAGUCUUUAAAAUGUAAGACUGCUUUCACCUGAGCAAUCUAGUGUCCAUUUCUAGAGCUAGCUUAAAUGUCCGUGUAAAUCCCCGUAAUUGGUUGGGAUAACAAUUACCUAUGUUGUAUAACUUGAGUCAAAAACUACGUUUCCACUGCCUGCCACCCCUAUGGAUGGUUUUCUCUUAAGGUAUCAAAUUUUACUGGGAAAGACCUAGAUAAAAUACAGCGAAAAUGAGGCGGGGCGUCCUGGCACAUGCCUGUAAUCCCAGCGCUUUGGGAGGCUGAGUCAGAAAGAUCUUUGAAUUCAGGAGUUCAAGACCAGCCUGGGCAAUAUAGUGAAAUCCUGUCUUUACAAAAAAUUAAAAAUUAGCCAGGCAUGGGGGCAUGGGCCUGUAGUCCCAGCUACUUGGGUUGGGUGACUGAUGUGGGAGGAUCACUUGAGCCCAGGAGGUUGAGGCUGCAGUGAGCUCUGACCAUGCCCCUGCACUCCAGCCUGGGUGACAGAGCAAGACCCAGUCUCAAAAAGAAAAGAAAAAGAGUAAUGUUAGGUCAAGGUAGAACCUACCUUGACUUUCUGUUACUAUGGAAGAUAUUCUGGGGUAUCUCUGAGAUCCAAGUAUUAUGGCACUUAAGUAAUUCCUAUCUAUUGUUCUACUUGGUUCCUCGGGAGUAAAAGUCAUAUUCAAACCAAAAAGGCUGUGGGAUUUCCAGAAUUUUAAAAGCAAUAAUAGUUAAUGUUCUCCCAUGGGAGUUACUCCACAUUUUUACAUAUGUUCCAUAUGUUAACUCAUUUAGACCUUACCUUUAUGAGGUAAGUCCUCUUCUUAUCCCCACUUUAGAGGUGGGAAAACUGAGGCACAGAAAGAGUAAGUUGCUUGCCUAAGGCCCUGUUACUAGCAGGUGGUGAAACCAGCAUUCCAACCCGGGAGUCUGGCAAAUGUGUGUGAAGAGCACACGUUUGGAAAUGACAGUCAUGAGGACACUGUAAGACUUCUGGAAUGUUUAUAAUUUCACCUUUGCUUGUUAUUUUUCCUGUCUGUUUCCCUAGAGUGAGCUGAGUGAAAAAAGAAAGAAGAAAGAAAGAAGAAAGAGAAAGAGAAAGAAAGGAGAGAAAAAGAAAAAAGAAAAGAAAAACAGAAAAAGGGAAAGAAAGAAGAAAUGAAAGAAAGAAAAGAAAAGAAGAAAGAAAAGAAAGAGAGAAAGGAAGGAAGGAAGGUGGGAGGGGAGGAAAGGAAGAAGAAAGAAAGAAGGGGGACAGAGGGAGGGAAUGAAGGAGGGAGAGAGGGAGGGAAGGAGGAAGAAAUAAAAAGAUGAGGAUCUGUAUGCUUGAGGGGUGGAGGUGGGGGGCUUGGGUGGGAGUGUGGGAUGGGCAGAAAGCUGGAGGGAGCCCUGGACCGACUGCAUUCCACAGAGGAUUGUGGGUGCAACGUAGGUGGCAGAUUGAGAAAAGCAAACAAACAAGCUCAGCCUUUGGAGCUUCGGGGAAGAAAAAAAGCUGAGCAGUGAAUGCUGGCUUCCCACGGAGAAGGCAGGCUGCUUCGCCAGCUCACAUCCUUCCGCGCACCCACUUCCUCUUUCCGGAGGUCACUUUAGAUUGCUUUAUGGCAGGAUCUCCAGGUCACAGGAAUGUUAUGUUUCGACUGGGGUUUCCCCCUCCCCUGGGAUGCCUGGGCCAGCUCCCCAAGGGCUAGUCUCUGUCCCAGGCCCCACACUCCCAUAGCACUCAGCAAAAGCCUAGAGAGAGCACCGCAAAAUGCCAAACGCAACAGGACCGCGUAGGAAGAAGACGCUUGGAAUGACAGGGACACUAGAACUGCCCAUGGUCGUGGUCUCAAAUUUUUGUUCCAUGGUCUGAAAUACUAAAAGUUCUUAAACAGCUACUUGAUUUCAUACUAUUGUUUUGAAGAAAACAGUGUUUGUUUGUUGUUUUGUUUGUUUGUUUGUUUGAGACAGAGUUUUGCUCUUGUUGCCGAGUUUGGUCCAUGUUGGUCAGGCUGGUCUCGAACUCCUGACAUCAGGUAAUCCACCCACCUCUGCCUCCCAAAGUGCUGGGAUUACAGGAAAACAGUUGUUUCUUUAAAACAAUUAUAUAGGCUGGGCACGGUAGCUCAUGCCUGUAAUCCCAGCACUUUGGGAGGCUGAGGUGGGUGAAUUACCUGAGGUCAGCAGUUCGAGACCAGCCUGGCCAACAUGGUGAACCUCCGUCUCUACUAAAAAUGCAAAAAAUUAGCCGGGCGUGGUGGUGCAUUCCUGUAAUACCAGGUACUCAGGAGGCUGAGGCAGGAGAAUCACUUGAACCCAGGAGGUGGAGGUUGCAGUGAGCUGAGAUGGCACCACUGCACUCCAGCCUGGGCAACAAGAGCAAAACUCCAUCUCACAAUCUCAAAAAAAUAAAAUAAAAUAAAAUAAAAUAAAUGGUUAUAUAAGCUACCUUAUUGAUGCAGUUACAAAUGAGCCGCUGAAACAUAUAAAUUUUAAAGAACAAGCCACAUAUCUUUCAUCACCCACAGCUUCACCAACUAAAGGUGUAUGUAGUACUUUUGUGGAAGGCAUUUCCACAUGCUUUGAGGGACCUUGAAAUACUGCUAUGAUUACAUGAUUUUUCUAAAACCAGACUACUCCUACAUUACAAGAAUUGAAAAGUUCAGAGUAAAUAUUUGUAAGACCUAGAAAAGAUGAUGUUCUUUAAAAAAAACGAUGCCCAUCUUUGUAGCGAAAAGAAAGAGAGAUCAGACUGUUACUGUGUCUAUGUAGAAACAGAAGACAUAAGAGACUCCAUUUUGAAAAAGACCUGUACUUUAAACAAUUGCUUUGCUGAGAUGUUGUUAAUUUGUAGCUUUGCCCCAGCCACUUUGACCCAACUACUUUGACCCAACCUGGAGCUCACAAAAAUAUAUGUUGUAUGAAAUCAAGGUUUAAGGGAUCUAGGGCUGUGCAGGACGUGCCUUGUUAACAAAAUGUUUGCAAGCAGUAUACUUGGUAAAAGUCAUCGCCAUUCUCUAGUCUCAAUAAACCAGGGGCACAAGGCACUGUGGAAAGCCGCAGGGACCUCUGCCCUGGAAAGCGGGGUGUUGUCCAAGGUUUCUCCCCAUGUGGUAGUCUGAAAUAUGGCCUCGUGGGAUGAGAAAGACCUGACCAUCCCCCAGCCCAACACCUGUAAAGGGUCUGUGCCGAGGUGGAUUAGUCAAAGAGGAAAGCCUCUUGCAGUUGAGAUAGAGGAAGGCCACUGUCUCCUGCCUGCCCCUGGGAACUGAAUGUCUUGGUAUAAAACCCGAUUGUACAUUUGUUCAAUUCUGAGAUAGGAGAAAAACCGCCCUAUGGCGGGAGGCGAGACAUGUUUGCAGCAAUGCUGCCUUGUUAUUCUUUACUCCACCGAGAUGUUUGGGUGGAGAGAAACAUAAAUCUGGCUUACGUGCACGUCCAGUCAUAGUAACUUCCCUUGAACUUAAUUAUGACGUAGAUUCUGUUGCUCACAUGUUCGUUGCUGACCUUCU